AUAAAUUAUCUCUCUCUCUAUAUAUGUAUACAACGAUUAUAUUUCUGGCUAAUACUUAUAAAAAAAAUUCACACUUUAGCCCAUUCAGAAAAGAAGAAGAAAACAAUGUAGCCUAGAACAUUGGAGUACUAACAAAAAUAAAUAAAUAAAUAAAUAAAGAGACUAAUGGUCCAAAUUUCGUGCAAUUACCUUACUCUUUUUCUUUUUUUCAUUAUCUUCCCUCCAUAUUAUUACUCCCUCCGUCCCGUUAUUCAAGUCCCAUUUUCCUUUUUGGGUUGUCCCACCGAUAAUGUCCCGUUUCCUAAAAAGGAAAUAAUAAGGGGAUGCUUAACAUUAAAU
rnacentral:lncRNA from 1 species